rnacentral:rRNA from 1 species
CCUGGCUCAUUAGAGGGCUGGCGGCGCGCCUAACACAUGCAAGUCGAACGAGCGAGAGAGAGCUUGCUUUCUCGAGCGAGUGGCGAACGGGUGAGUAACGCGUGAGGAACCUGCCUCAAAGAGGGGGACAACAGUUGGAAACGACUGCUAAUACCGCAUAAGCCCACGGGUCGGCAUCGACCAGAGGGAAAAGGAGCAAUCCGCUUUGAGAUGGCCUCGCGUCCGAUUAGCUAGUUGGUGAGGUAACGGCCCACCAAGGCGACGAUCGGUAGCCGGACUGAGAGGUUGAACGGCCACAUUGGGACUGAGACACGGCCCAGACUCCUACGGGAGGCAGCAGUGGGGAAUAUUGCACAAUGGGGGAAACCCUGAUGCAGCGACGCCGCGUGGAGGAAGAAGGUCUUCGGAUUGUAAACUCCUGUUGUUGAGGAAGAUAAUGACGGUACUCAACAAGGAAGUGACGGCUAACUACGUGCCAGCAGCCGCGGUAAAACGUAGGUCACAAGCGUUGUCCGGAAUUACUGGGUGUAAAGGGAGCGCAGGCGGGAAGACAAGUUGGAAGUGAAAUCUAUGGGCUCAACCCAUAAACUGCUUUCAAAACUGUUUUUCUUGAGUAGUGCAGAGGUAGGCGGAAUUCCCGGUGUAGCGGUGGAAUGCGUAGAUAUCGGGAGGAACACCAGUGGCGAAGGCGGCCUACUGGGCACCAACUGACGCUGAGGCUCGAAAGUGUGGGUAGCAAACAGGAUUAGAUACCCUGGUAGUCCACACCGUAAACGAUGAUUACUAGGUGUUGGAGGAUUGACCCCUUCAGUGCCGCAGUUAACACAAUAAGUAAUCCACCUGGGGAGUACGACCGCAAGGUUGAAACUCAAAGGAAUUGACGGGGGCCCGCACAAGCAGUGGAGUAUGUGGUUUAAUUCGACGCAACGCGAAGAACCUUACCAAGUCUUGACAUCCUGCGACGCACAUAGAAAUAUGUGUUUCCUUCGGGACGCAGAGACGGGUGGUGCAUGGUUGUCGUCAGCUCGUGUCGUGAGAUGUUGGGUUAAGUCCCGCAACGAGCGCAACCCUUACUGUCAGUUACUACGCAAGAGGACUCUGGCAGGACUGCCGUUGACAAAACGGAGGAAGGUGGGGAUGACGUCAAAUCAUCAUGCCCUUUAUGACUUGGGCUACACACGUACUACAAUGGCGUUAAACAAAGAGAAGCAAGACCGCGAGGUGGAGCAAAACUCAGAAACAACGUCCCAGUUCGGACUGCAGGCUGCAACUCGCCUGCACGAAGUCGGAAUUGCUAGUAAUCGUGGAUCAGCAUGCCACGGUGAAUACGUUCCCGGGCCUUGUACACACCG